AACCCGAUACCAGAUGUCCCUCUGCUCUUUGUGUGGAUUGUAUCUCCCGGGCACCUGCCCUAACUUGGGCUCCAAUACAACUCUCUUUAGAAUCCCUUUAGGGUUUCUGAAAAGUUUGGUCACUUUGUGUCAACAGAUACAUAAAUAUGCAGAUUUGCAAUAUGUCCAAUGCAAUGUCAUGUGAUGGAUCAUUACGCAUCUGCUUAUGAUGCUUUUAGAGUUAAGUGGAAAAGAAAAAUAGCAGUUUCAAUUCUUCACUAACAACUAGCCCCACACUCUCUUUAAUGGGACUUUUAAACUCUCAAUGUUUUAGAAAGUAAUUGGUGCCCAACCUGAACACAUUAGUGGCAAGAUGAUUGGUCUGCCUUGGAAGUGCCAGCUCAGCAGAGGAUAGUUGACAAAUCUGUUGCUAACUUCCCGCAAGAUGGCCCUUCUAUGAAUAAACAUGCUCAGUUGCAAAUACUUGGCAGGCAAAAGCCUGUGUAAGACGAUCGUGAACCCCACCCCCCCAUUUUCAGUGGCAGUGCAAGCUUCUCUGUGAAGGAAUCCUACUGCUUCCACAACCCACUGCAUAGUGACCUCCACACCUUUGCUCAGAGGCAAAGAGAGACAGUAUGUAGCAGUGAUGCACCGCGAGCCCGGGAGUGCCUCUUGGAUGCCCGACACAUCAAGUGGGCACAUCAAGUGGGCCAUCAGGUACAUGGGACUUGAGCUGAUGUGAGCGGUCUGAAUUAGAGCCUAUCAAUAUGAGAAUUCCAGGAAGAGGUUAAUUUGGAGAAAAGUGUUCUCUAAAGCAGCCAUUCUAAGAAGAGUAUCAACUGUUUCUUGCUUAUGAAGACUUAAUCGCUUGGCCGAGAGCUGGAGAGGGCCAGAGAGUACAAGUAGGAGGAGUGGAAGAGGAGAAGCAGGCUCCCCACUGAGCAGGGAGCCCAAUGCCGAUGCCGGGCUGGAUCCUAGGACCAUGGGAUCACGACUUGAGCCAAAGGCAGAUGCUUAACCAACUGAGCCACCCAGGUGCCCCCAGGAAUCAAUAUUUUUAAAAAGCUCCCUGGGUCAUCUGAUAUUGCCAAGCCAGGGAUGAGCUCUGGGGAAGCGCAGGUCUUAGAGGCUGGUUUGGUGCCCUGACCAAGCUUCAGUGUGAUCCUCACCUUGACAGACAUUGAACUUGGGUUUGCAGUGGGUUGAUCGUAAUUGAUCUGCUUACAAAGUUUGUAGGAAACUUACGUAUGUCAGCUUUUACAAUUACAAGGAGGGAGAGUCCUUCUCAGAGGUCAAAAUGCCCACGUUUCCUAUGCAGAACACAGGCAGAGCACCGGACACUUAAUCAGAUGGUUGCCUGCUAUUGAUUUGUGAAAUCAGAUCAAAGGGAGGCUCCCAAUGGCAUUUUUAUUCAGGCCACAGGCGGUGUGGGAAAUAAUUCUUUUAUGCCCCAGACCAAAUCUCCUUAACCUUGGCCAGAGCUAGAGAAACACUGCCAAAUUCUUGCUCUCAGACACUUUUUCUAAAGUCUAUGCAGACAAUCCCCUUUUUGUUUUUUCACAUGUUUAUUCUCUUUUUAAACAGGAUACUAUUUUACUAAAUUUCUAUUUUCUUCCUUGAAGUUGCAUUCCAUUCAUGCAUCUCUGGCCACCUAUGUCGCACUGCAUGUAUCCACAUCACCAGUAUCUUGGUGACUGCUUAGAUGUGUAACUUAUUUUCUAUCCUUAUGCACUGACCUGAUGGUCAACCUCAUGAACUUACAUUCCAGCAGGAAGAAAUUUGUAAUAAAUAUAUCUUAAGAACAAAAUAAAUAUAUAAGAUUGUGUGAGUACUUUGAAGAAACUGAAGUACAGCAAGAGGUAGACAUGAUUAGCACUGGGAGUUUGGCUGAGGAAGACUUCUUGUAGAUGAGAGAGCUAGAACCUCAUAAGUGCACUCUCAAACAGUGUGCGUUUCCAAGGUCAUGUAGAGCUUUGCAUCUCCACCAGAGAUACUAUCAUCGUUAAACUAACAGAGUCAGUAGAUGGUUUUGUAAAAUUUGUUAUGAGAAGCUAAUGGAGAAAAUACUCAUCUAGAUAGUCUGAAAUCUCUUCCAUCAUUAAACACAAGGAACAUUGGAUAAAUUGGAACAACUAUUUAUAAAUAUGCUAUUUUCAAGUGAAAUCUAUUUUUAAGUGAAGAUGUGAGCUUACAAUAAAGUAAGAGAAAUCACCAGUUAGCAAAAGUAAUGAGGGAAAUUAAAAUCAGUGAGGUCAACAUGAGACCUGAAGCUUCAGCUGCUGCCGGGAAGGGGUUUGGAUACUAAUCCCUGUGUAGGAACAGGAGAUACAGCCUUAAAGCCCUAGAGACAGGAAAUUGGAAUUCAAAAGAUAACAGGAAGCCAGGAUGAAGCUGUGCCUGAAUUUAAAAAUAUUUUUUAAAAAAAUCCAUUAGUUUUGGGUAGAGGUUUUUAAAAAGAAAAGAUAAUAUCCCUGAGGAUUUAUAGCUACAUAACUAUCUGAUGUUCAAAUUCAUUCCAUGGGCAAGAUCUAGGAAACUCCAAAUUCAGAUAAUAGCAUAAAAAGUAGCAUUUAGCUAGUGAUGCUCCUGGAGUAACUUACAAAAGCAAAUGCAAAGCCUCUCUUGAAGAACGUCCCCUUAGCAAGGGCUCUGUAGGGAUUUCCAGAGAUUCAAUUCCUAUGAAGGCAAGCUCAUAAUCUAAAACUGUAAAACAUAUGCGGAAACAACACUAUAAAAAUGAGUCACCAGAAGUAAUGUGUACAGUACAGAAGGUAGACUUAGAACUUUAAAUGCUAUAAUUCUUGAAUAGAAAUAAUUUUUAGAAAGAAGUUAAAGGAUUAAAUAUAUAUUUUAAAAAAGGUCUUAAGGAAAAAGUACAAGAGUCUCUGAAAAAAAGCGGAGGCAGACCUUGAAAACUGAACCACAUAGAACUUUUAGAAACAAAAAAUAUGGCAAUAACAGCUAAAACUCGGUGGUGAAAGUAUUUGCAUAUCACAUAUCAAAUAAAGGACUUGUAUCUGGAAUAUAUAAAGAACUCUCUAAAUCAAUGAUUGAUGU